CCACGCUUUCGCACCUCAGCGUCAGUAUUAAGCCAGGAGGCCGCNUUCGCCACCGGUAUUCCUCCACAUAUCUACGCAUUUCACCGCUACACGUGGAAUUCUACCUCCCUCUCUCAUACUCUAGCCGCCCAGUAUCGAAUGCAGUUCCCAGGUUGAGCCCGGGGCUUUCACACCCGACUUAGACAGCCGCCUACGCGCGCUUUACGCCCAGUAAUUCCGAUUAACGCUUGCACCCUCUGUAUUACCGCGGCUGCUGGCACAGAGUUAGCCGGUGCUUAUUCUGUGGGUAGCAUCAAUCCCACUGGAUAUUAGCCAGCGAGCCUUUCUCCCCACUUAAAGUGCUUUACAACCCGAAGGCCUUCUUCACACACGCGGCAUGGCUGGAUCAGGGUUGCCCCCAUUGUCCAAUAUUCCCCACUGCUGCCUCCCGUAGGAGUCCGGACCGUGUCUCAGUUCCGGUGUGACUGAUCAUCCUCUCAGACCAGUUAUGGAUCGUCGCCUUGGUAGGCCUUUACCCUACCAACUAGCUAAUCCAACGCAGGCUCAUCCAAUAGUGCAAGGUCCGAAGAUCCCCUGCUUUCCCCCUUAGGGCGUAUGCGGUAUUAAUCCGAGUUUCCCCGGGCUAUCCCCCGCUACUGGGUAGAUUCCUACGCGUUACUCACCCGUUCGCCGCUCGCCGCCAGGUUGCCCCGCGCUGCCGCUC
rnacentral:rRNA from 1 species